rnacentral:lncRNA from 1 species
AACAUAGGAAUUCAACCCACAACAGAGCAUUUUCACAGCCUCCAGCAGGGAGAGAGGAACAUGUAAGGGGCAGCUGCAAGUGAGGGGCGAGGAGGGAAGGUGGGAGAUGGGGAAGGAGGUGGCAGAGGAGGGGCAGCCAGGGUGGCAAGAAGGAGUAGAGGCAGGAGCAUCAGAGAAAGCCUGCCUCCAUGUAUACAUUCAUUCAUUCAUUUCUGAGACCCUGUUGUUGUUCUCAGGGAUCUUCUAAUUUAGCUCAUGUAUGUGGCUGUUUAAAUUAAUUGACGUUACAUACAAUUAAAAUUUCACGUCUUCAGUCUCACUAGCUACAUUUCAAGGGUGUUUUGCUACCAUUUGGAACAUCACCGAUACAGAAUGUUUCCAGUCCAGAGAGUCGCACAUGGGAAAUGUGGUGGAAGAAGAAAGAAUAACAACAGGAGGAAAGAUGGAGAGGGAUUGAAAGGAGGUAGAAGGGCCACAGCUAGCCUUGAACUCCAGCGGCAUUCAAGUGAGCCUGUGGCGUUUAGAGAUGAGUGAGGAGACCUAUGUGACCUGGGACAGUUGAGUUGGGAGGUUCCUGGCGAAACAGCUGGGUGACAGGUGACCAUGGAAUAGAGCUUUAUCUCACAGCCCACUUUUUUUUUUUUCUUUUUGGUCUCACCCUGGCAUUUAGAAGUUCCCAGGCAAGGGACUGCAUCCUUGCCACAGCAGUGACAGCACCGGAUCCUUAUCCCGCUGAAGUAACUGAGCAGGACCGUGGGAGUCCUUCCCAGAGUGGACCCCCCCCACUCAUGUCCUCCACCUGCCUUUUUAUCUAUAGAAAACUUUAGUCAAAGAAUCAAUUUAAUCAGAGAAGUGAGGAAAAAAAAUACAGAGAGAAAAGAAGACAGUCAAGCAAGAUAGAAUAAUAAUAGUUUGGCCAUUCAACGGAGUCAAGGACCUUUAGUUAGGUCUUUUUCAAGGACUACCGGUAAUAUUCCAAGCCAUGUCCUUGAAGGUGUUUUGUAGGCACUAAAGCCCCCUCUGCGUGGAAGAAGCAAACUGUGUGCUGCCUACAAGCAUGUAGACCCCGGGUGGUUUGGAAUCAGAAGCUUGAUGAUGCUGACUUCCAAUGACCUCACCACUCACCAAUCAGGAAAAUGUCCAGGGGCUGACCACGCCCCACUCCUCAAACACUCUAAUGCGCCUCACUACCCCCUCCAAGAGAGGGGGCUCAGUCCUUCAGGCACUAGCCUGCUGUGAUCUCCUCUUUGUCUGACAAUUAAAGCUACUUUUUCUGUUUCCUCCAACCUUGACUCUGAGUUUCUGUUCGGCUGCAGUGUACAGAGGCAGCCAAGAUUUUGGCAACCGGAGCCACCAGGGAACUCACAGCCCACUUCCGAGAAGCAUUUACUCAUCAUGAGGGGUGGUGUUCUGGAAAGGUCCCCCCCAAAUCUCCAAUUUGGUAAUAACUGGCUCAAAGCAGAGCAGAGCAGGGUAGAAGGGCACUGGGAGGCCUUCUUCGAGACCUGGCAAGCUCCUGUCUAGAGCCCCCGGUGAGGCUGGAGGAGGCCAUGUGGCCCCAAGGCCCCUUCCUCAUGCUCCUGCAAAUGCUUCCAAAUUGGCCAAGAUGAGAAGACAGGAAGAGAAGUCAAGGCAACCUAGUUAAAGACGUUUGAUUAAUAAUAAGGCGUCUUUCAGUAAUAACACGGAUAACACGCUUUUAAGGACUGAAUACAAGCUAUUUUAUGCAUAUCCUGGUGGGAAACAGCACAGCCGAAGAAACCUUGGGGAUUACUGGGGCUCAGAAGCAGAAUGUGACGGCCAGCGCCGCACGGGUAUUGACAGAGGGAGCGCACGUGUGGCUGGGAGGGACAGGGGGCGACACGGGAUCACCAGGGAGCCAUCCCCACAGGCCUGAGCAGACACAGCGGAGGUCAGGGCUCGGUGACAGGCCUUUGCGCCGUGCUUUGCUCUCUGAAUUUUAAGAGCAAUAAAGUAAAACUGCAGUACAUCAAAAGCAGAAAUGAGCAAAGGUUACAGAGGAGUUGGAAGCUGUUUAACUUGUAAAAGAGAAGCUAAGAAGCGCAACAUACAGCCUUACUCUCAGUAGCCUGAGAAGCUAUGACAAGGAGACAGCUCUUUCUGGAAGGGGUUGAGGUGAGCUUGAUUCCUGCAUAAAGAGGCCUGUGUGGGAAGGACUCUGACGACUGCUGACGUUUUCAUUAAUAAUUGUUUCCUGGGGAACGUGGGUACUUCAGCUUAGAGCGGGGGCCUGGAAUGGUCAGCACCCGGUGUGGCAAUAAAUAUUUGAGUCCACUGGUGACCAGAUGUGCUCUUAAGACGCUCUGCAUUUCGAGCACCAACACCUUCCUCUCGCCCUCCAUCGCCUCCCACCUGCGUUGGCAGAAUGACUGCCGUCUGCGACCCGUGUGUCUUUCCGCGCGGAGGAAGCUCGGUCCGCAAGGCCUCUCUGAGUCCUUGACUCCUUGGGCCACAGCACCGGCUGUUCAGCAGUUCGUGUAGCCCGGCAUUGCCUUCUUCCCCUUGGGAGCCGGUGCUCUCUGCUGAUGCUCCAAGGGUCGCGGACUCAUCCCCUCCACGGUAGCGGGGCGCCGACCCAUGGUGGGAAGGGGUGUCACUAUCAGGAAGGCCCUGGGCCCUUAUACCUGGCUGACCUUAUCAACACCAAGGAUGAGAGCCUCCAACUGCUGCUCCACUCGUUAUUCUCAAAUGAUUCAGAACUCAGGCAAGAAAGAGGAUUGAUUAGCUAGUGGGGGGUGGGGUGAAGGUAGGGGUGGCUUCAAGACCCCUCUGCAGUCUGGCUGCAACAGUAAGCCAAGGAUCUCCCCACGUUCGCUCCCCUGGAUUCCAUUCUCACUGCCCCUGGGAGCUCUGCAAAUUACAAAUCCGAUGUGUUGCUUCUGGCCUAAAAUCCUGCACUGGUUUCCCAUCGCAACGGGAAUAAAACUAAACUCCUUUCCGGAGCCCAGGAUCUGGCCUCCUGCUCUCUUGCUCUGAGUCCCAGGCGCUGCGGGGGAGGCUGCUGCAGAAAGGGCCAGCUGGAUUGGGCCUUAGGGACUUGACAGUGGCCUUCCCACCGUCUAGAAAGUUCUUUGCCCUCUUGCAUUCCUCUGUAACCUCCCAUGAGAGUCUUCUUUCAGCCCCACCCCCACGUCUGCUCCAAACUAGUCUCCGCCCCCGCUCUUCCUGGGGAUCCUUUUGUUCUCUCCGUGGCACUAAUGACGUUACCAUGUGUACUUGAUAGCUCUCGUUUACCGACUGUCUCCAUCGCCAAGAGAGACAGGAUUCUCUUGAGAGCAGGGAGCUAGUCCCUCUCCAUUUGCUUUGCAUCCUCAGGACCUGGCAGAGCAGUCGCUCAAUGAAUAUGAGCGAUGAGGGCAGGAGAGAAGGAGAAAAAGCGCGAUGCACAGGACAAACCCUGUACCAGGAACCGAGUGAAGUGGGGUUUCAGACCCUGCUCCCCGCUAAUAACUGAGUGCUGGUCACUUACCUCUAAUUUUUACCUUCCUUCAUCUCUAAAGCAAGGGGGGCUUCACUCUCUGCGUUGGGAUACUCUUGAAAAGGCCAGACAUCCUUUUGAAGAGUCUCUUGCUUAGGAAAUAUGUGUUUUCCCGGCCCCGGGCUGCUAAUAUCUUUCCCCCUGCCUGUUCCUUUCCAGUAUUUAAUGCGGCAGCUGAAUUAUUUAACUGUGUGAGUGUUUCGGGACCGAAUUUGAAGGGCAAAUAAGAUAACAAAUGAAGCAGCGCUGUAGCAUCAUUCUUCCUGCUGCCGGGGAUUCUGGAGUGGUGUUUUUUUUUGUUUUUUUUUUUUUUUUUUUUUUUUUCUUGGGCAUCUUGACUUUCGCAACAGAAAGAGUAAAACAAAUCACGUAGACAAAUCACACCCCCAGCCCUGCGCGAGCCGCUGCGGCCGAAAGGGAGCGAUUUUAAAUGAGAACAUUACAGUCGCAGCUAAUGGAGCAGGAGCGAGAAAACACUUGUCCUGGGCCGGCAGCACCAAAUACCCCUUAUCACCCUCGACGACCGUAUUAUUUUAAUGUUAAACACAGUACAUUGCAAACUAGUAAAGUCACAUUCAGACUUGCCUCCCCUCUGGUUGUCCGGUCACAGGCACGUGCCUUAAUAAGUUUUCCUUAUUGCGAGGUUUCUCAGCCGCUCGAGUCCGCUGGGCAGCUUUAUCUCCUUGGGUACCUUCCGUGGAACCAGGCAAUAAAGUCUCCUUUUAAAAGUACAAUGCGUUUCCCCAACCCUAUUCUUCUGGGGCUUUUAUGACUCACAAUUGACAAAGCCCUCGCUAAUGGAAAUGCAAAUUUCCUACCUGUCAAAGACAGAGAAUGCUUUCUGAAAACACUGGCUGGCGGGGCAGAAAGAACAUUAGCAAUCUUGCAUAUUCGGGGGAGAAGCAGCCUCCUGUGAAUUUGUGGGAUAAAAAUGUUUAUUUAAUGCUGGGACAUAAAUAAAAUAGCAGUGGUUAGAUCUCCCACACAGACCGGACAAUUCCUUGGGAAUUUCAAACUUUUUGAUCCCUUUGGUUUCAGCACCUGUUUCAUUCAGAUUCAAAUCACCCGACACCGCUUUUAUAAAGGCUUUGAUUUGGGGACCAGGAAGGUGGGGUGCCCUGGAUCUCUCCUGCUGCUUUACUGAGAAAAUUGGGCGCAAGUUUGGGUGACGCUUGGCUGCCCUGGGAUUUGUCACUUCUGAAGCAACAUCACUGCCUGGUCUCUUCCUCCUCUGUUGUUACUACUAUUUAACUCUGUGUGUGUGUGUGUGUGUGUGUGUGUGUGUGUAGAACAGUGGGUGAGAAUAUGGUCUUUGCCUGAAAUUUCAGUAGCAAGCAGGCCGAGGCAAUGGUUCCUAAAAAGCCAGGGUGACUUCCUAAAAGAGUCUGCCAGGGCUUGUCAACUGAAAAAAAAAAAAAAAAA